UGGUGGAGUGAUUUGUCUGGUUAAUUCCGAUAACGAACGAGACCUUAACCUGCUAAAUAGUACUGCGAAUGUAAAUUUGUGUUGUUACUUCUUAGAGGGACUUUGGAUGUUUAAUCCAAGGAAGUUUGAGGCAAUAACA
rnacentral:rRNA from 1 species